GUUCCUGGAAUCCAUCAAAUCGGUAAAGUCAGCUGGCUGCUUUAGUGGCUGUGGGAUGAAAUGCUGGAGUGCCUGGUAGCCAUCAGGUUAACAGUGAGAACAGUCCUGUGCAUUUCUUUUGCCAGCAGCAGUUGGUGUCCAGAUUUGUACAGGCACUAGAAGGUGAGCAAACACUACAUUCACAUAAAUAAUCAAACCCAGCACCUGCAUCUGGAAGUGUCUGCACUUACUGGCUUUUAAGGUGCUGUGCUUUUUAAAUGCUGAUUUCUGUCAGGGAAGUUCAUAUGCAUACUGCAAACGUGGUGUAAACGGCCAUUUCCCCUUGCAGCAUGCGUGGUAACCUUGAAGUGUUUUCUCUAGCUCUGAGGCUGGAAAUCUCUCUUUUUGUAAGUCUGACCUUAAGAAUAGCUUACUUCCUGACCAGAGGAAUGCGCAUGUUGACUGUUGCUUUCCAAGUGCUGCUUUCAACACCUAGGAGUUGUGGGAGAUCACUAAAGCCAUUAGCAGCUCCCUGUCCUGAAAAGACUUCUGCUGGGAGGGGGAAGAGUAUUCUCUGAAUGUUUUACCUACCUCUAAGUGGUAUCUGUGCCCAAAAUUAGUCUUGCUGCUUCUAAUCAAACUGUACAGGCUUCUUUAGUGUUUCUUUCCCAUGUCUGUCCUAUCUUAAUUAGCACUGUAGGCAGCUGGAGUUUCUGUUUCAAGUAGGAGGAUGUGGUUUGCUAAUAGAAGUAAACUGAUCUGAGGGCUCUGCUGCUUCUCCUGGUAUUUAAUGAGCUCACAUGGGGUCGGAUGAGAGCCCGCGAGCAGUGGUAAGGCAAGUAGAGAAGGGAAGGGAGGAAGCAGACGCAGGGCUGCGUUACUGGCCAGUGACUGGGGUGUUUGCUGUUGUAGCCAUGGCUCAAAUUGCAUUUCUGUAGAUGUGUAAGAUGAAAUAAAAAUGACAGGCAGAGGUUUGAAUGUUAAA